UACAUGGGGUGCAAACGUUGCUCGGAAUUAUUGGGCGUAAAGCGCACGUAGGCGGUCCGUUAAGUCAGAUGUGAAAGCCCCCGGCUCAACCGGGGAAGUGCAUCUGAAACUGGCGGGCUAGAGUACGAAAGAGGGUCGCGGAAUUCCCGGUGUAGAGGUGAAAUUCGUAGAUAUCGGGAGGAACACCGGUGGCGAAGGCGGCGACCUGGGUCGAUACUGACGCUGAGGUGCGAAAGCGUGGGGAGCAAACGGG
rnacentral:rRNA from 1 species